CUCUCUACUCGAGACUCUCUCUCUCUACCCUCUCGCCGGAAAUCGUCGUCGCCGGAACCUCAUCCUUUACCAAAAUUUCCAGAUUUUCUUCUCUUCCUUCCCUCUUUCCAUUUCUCUAACCAAAAUCAAGAAAUUUGGCCAUCCAACCCUCCAAAAACCUUAGAACCCGAAGCUAAAUUGGGGCUUUUUGUGAUUUCUUCUUUCCAAGUUCAAAUCAAGAGGCUAGGCUAUGGGUUUGGCAAGGAUUUGUGGUGAAGAAGGCCAAUGAGGAGGAUUAGGCCAUGAGUUUUGAAGAAGAAAGGGUAAGGAAUGGGUUUUGGACAAACCCUAGAAUUUUUGGAAUUUAUUUGGUUGAUUUUGAUUUUGUUGAGAUAUUGUUGUUGUUGGAAAAAUUGUGAAAAUUAGAUAUUUGAAGAGAGUUUAAUUAGUAGGAUUUUUUGGUCUAAUUUUCAAAGGAUUGGAAAUUGGUGUUGAAGAUUUUGGUGAUUAUUGUUGUGUAGUUUUGGCCAAAAGAAAAAGAAAAGGAAGAAGAAAAGAAAUGUUUUUGUUUUUGGAAGAAAAAGAAAAUGAAGAAAAUGGUAAAAGUUUGAUUAAAUGAGUUUUACCUUGGUAAAUUGGUAAAAAAGUGAAGAAGGUGAAAGUAAAGGUAAAUUCGGUAAAAAGGAGGUAAAAGGUAAAAGUGUAAGUGUGGAGGUGAAAUUCAUGGUAAAAGUGAAAAGGUGAAAAAGGAGAAGUAAAUUGGUAAAAGUGAAAGUAAAACUUUAUUUAUAAUUAUUUACUUAUUUAUUUUUGAUAAAUAAGAAAUAAUGGUAAAUAAGGGAAUACUUGGUCAAAAGUCA